GUUUAAAUACCACUUAUAAGAGUUUGCUGUGUAUGUGAAGAGUUGAAUAUUCAUUCGUGGUUGGCAGCUGAUUGUUACUUAGCAGCAUAAAGCCGAUUGGGGGUAAGUUGGCUUCUCUUAAUGCUGAGUUACAGGAUUGUAAAAUUGCUCUUCUGAUUGGCUUGCUAGAUAGAAACUCUUGGUCACUCAUUGGACAGGAAGUGUGGUCUAUAUACCAAUCAAAUCUUAUUGGCUGAAGGGUAGGCUGGUUGGAACAUAAAUAGCCUAGUUCUAGCACAGCUUAGGGAGCAUGUGACAGUCUGAGAUUGCUAACCAGAAGAAGAAGAAACUGGGAGAGAAAGCAGAGCGUAGGAGUCUAGAGUUGAAGCAGAAGCCGGAGGAAGACAGGCAAGAGGUGGUUGAGGAAAGCCUGGGAGUAUCCUCUGCUUCCAAAGAGCUGAACCACCAGCUUAAGCAAAUCAAAGGACUGUGAGCAGUGAGGGAGAGUUCAGCAAGGAGCUCCUGGAGCUGACCAGAGCGAGAAUGCCUGCAAGCCUGACUUAUAGGAGAACUAGCCCAAGGCCUUUUUUGCAUGGCAGUGGUGAGAACUUACUGGUCGCUAUGGGUAAUUGGCAACCAAGUUAAGCAGGGAUAGGAAUUGUGGUUCACCAUUGAGUCUUAUGUAAGUUCCUAUAUUUGCAAACAACAGCCAGUUAUAAUAACAACCACCUUGUAAAAGCAAGCACAGGUUAACAGGUAACCAAAAUAUAGUAUUUACCUUGUUUUACUUUUCUAUUUAAUAAUAAUUGGAGAAUAUUUCAUCAUUUUGAUUUACUUACAAAGUGUGUCUGGCUUGCUUUUGUACCAUGUCUAAUCUACCACAGCUACUAGUAUUUUAAAGGCGUUGGUUAACAGCACAAUACAAAUAUAUGGCAGCAGCAGUUAGAAGCUGGUUCUCUACAUAUUGAGGAGAGCUAAUAGACCACUCAUUGGGGGAGGGGCUUUGUCAUGGGGCCUCUAGUGCAUAGUCUCAUCCCCUUCCCUUCCUCCCAUUCCAGUCAUUCACCCUCAACGGCCUCUACCAAUUAGUCUGAAUCGGAGUGCUCAGAGGGACCCAUGGCGCUGAGCAUCAUGUCAGCAUCUGCAGGCAUCUGUUAGCAAAAGAUGUCUUGGGAGAGCUUGACCCUAAGAAGCAGCCUAUAAAUAUUUGCACCAGAGUUUGACCCUUCUGCAUUACAAUUUUCUUAUUUCAAUUGAAUUAAAUGUUAUUUAGGUUGUUUCAGAUGAACAAACAAAGCGAUUCCUAAUGCACUUUCCUAUUUGCUGGGCCGAUGAUGUUACAGUUCCACCAGUCCCAAAGGAUUCACAGUAUUAAGUGCUCUGUGACCCUAUAGUUCACUUGAAAGGCUCUGUGAAAUUUAGUAAACAAAGACACUACUCCUAGAAAUGAGGGUAUCUCUUGUUUUCUAAAUUGCUGUUUCAAAGAGCAACAGAAGACUUCAUUUAAGAUCACUCCCUUCUCUCUUUAGAAAUCUUCUCUCCUUGUAGACAGAGGAACAGAUGGGGGAGGAGGUACAGAAUCUAUGAACAUAAAAGAAAAAGCUUGUCAAAAUAUUCUUGUAUGUCUUCCUUUAAACCUCCCUGCCUGAGUAAUCCAUGAUCAGAGACAAAUAUUAAACAUUUUUACAACAAUCUACUCUUUUAAACCUAAAUGCUACACUCUAGGAAGUUGAGCCUCAUAAGACAAAACCCAAGAAUUCCACACAUGGGUAAAUGUUUUAUAAACAAGUCACUAACUUCGUCAUUUGAUUUUCUUCUUUGCCCAUCACAUAUUGCCUAGGGAGAUAAAGAUUUAUUUUUGUUAAUUUAUUCAUUACAAUAAAACUAUUUGCCAAAUAAUCUCUCCAAAAAGGCAGGCAUGGAAAUUAUGCUUAAGCCAUUUUAUCUUGGAGUGUGCACACAAUAGUUUGAUUGCACACUUAAGAGAGAUCAUAGGAGUCUGCUCCCUCAAGGGUAAAUCACAUAGGAAGGCUUCCAGGGUAAAUAAUUGCAACUCUAAAUCCAUGUUCUUUGCAGAUAGCUAGGCUUGAGAAUCCUUUGUUUUGGGAAACUUGUUCCGGUCGAAGAAGAAAACACAAAAGAAGUUCAAUGCAAUAAACAUUCCCAACCUCCCUCCCCACCCACAGACACACAAGUAUAAAGAGCAUAACCCAGGAAAAUGGAGGACAAAAUGCAUGCAAAUGACGCCAUGAACAUUUGCAUCUAGCAUAUAUAGAGACUUAUCCUGAUUUAGAGCUCAGAAAAAUCAGGUCCUCGGGUUAUGCAGAACAACCUCCACCCCUGACUCACAACUUAGGGGGCAAAUUUCUGUGUCAAGUAUUUCAGAUUUGACUUCAAGAGCUGGGUUGCAGUCAGUAAGUCAGAGCUUUCCAAACUGUGUGUCGCGACACGUUAGUGUGUUGGCUGCAGUGUUUAGGUGUGUUACGCGAAGGCUCCUCCCAGGGCUGGAAAGGGGUUGGUUUAACCUCCAGUUUGCUAGUAAAACUGAAUUACUGUGUCGCAAAAUGAUGCAUGUCUAAAAAGUGUCUCACCAGCAUGAAAAGUCUGGAAAGCCUUGCUUGAAAGGCUAAGACUUGGAGAAGCAGUCUGAGUCACUGAACGAACUUCCUUGCAUUGCUCUACACAUGGUUUCCGCCACCCACAAAGCCAAAGCAUCUCCUGUUAUGACGGGAGCCUCCCUGGGCAAAGUAUCCCACAGAAAAAGUCCAUUGCCCCAAAGGGCUACUCUGGGGACCCAUCUGCACUAUGCAUUUGAAGUAGUAUAAGAAUUUAUUUAUACCCCGCCCAUCUGGCCGGGUUUCCCCAGCCACUCUGGGUGGCUCCCAACAGAAUAUUAAAAACACCAAACAUUAAAAACUUUUCUAAACAGAGCUGCCUUCAGAUGUCUUCUAAAAGUCAGAUAGUUGUUAAUUUCCUUGACAUCUGAUGGGAGGGUGUUCCACAGGGCAGGCGCCACUACCGAGAAGGCCCUCUGCCUGGUUCCCUGUAACCUUGCUUCUCACAGUGAGGGAACCACCAGAAGGCCCUCGGAGCUGGACCUCAGUGUCUGGGCUGAACAAUGGAUCUAGUAUCAUACCUAGAUUAGUUUCUUUUGUAAUGUAUUAUGAAAAGGCUUAAUAAAAUUUUAUUUUAAGAAAGUAGUAUCCUACCACUUUAAAUAGUCAUGCCUUCCCUCAAAGCACUCUGCUGAGAGUUGUUAGGAAACCCUAAUUCCCCUCAGAGAGCUACAAUUCCCAGAGUUCCUUGGGAAGAGAAAUUUAUUGUUAAACCACCCUGGGAAUUGUAGCUGAGAGGGGCCCAGCUCUAUACCAGAGGAGGCUGUUACUCUGAAGGUUAUAUAACUACUUCUGUACACCCAGUUCCAACUAUAUAAUUGCAACACGUGGUGCCACACAAUCCCAACUGCCAAUAAAAAACCAGUCAGCACUGGUAGCAGACACAAAUGCCAACCUUGCAUUCAAAGUGGCCUUCAAGGCCACAAUAAACAGAAACUUUCACAGCCAAACAGUUACAUUCUCCUUGUUGGGCUGUAAAUGAAGAUAUUCCUGAACAGAACAUGUCCACCCAUGGGCACACACUCCAUAUGUACGUUGGAAUCAAUAGAUAACAGGCACAAGUAAACACCUGGCUGAAAUGAUGUGGGGAAAACCUUUGGCUCCCCAGAUGUUGCUGAACCACAACUCCCAUCAUCCCUAGCCGUUGACCAUGCCUCCUGGGACUGAUGGGAAUUGUAGUUCAGCAACAUUUGGAGGAAAACCAAGGUUCCCUGCACCUGCUCUAUGUAGCCAUGAGUUCCACAGUAUUAUUCUAAUAACUUUACACUUUUCAGAUUUAUAGAAUGUCACCUUGCUCUUUAUUGGAUAAAGGAAAGUGGAAGUGCCAGCCUGACCUUCUCAAUAUUCUUCAUGGUUUUAUAUAUCUAUUUAAUGGCCUCUCUUAUUAGCCUCCUUCCAGAGGUCUUCCCAUUUUUCUUAUUUUUACUCUGUUCCUAUGUAGCUCUUCUAUUUCUGUUAGCUGUUUUAUGAGAUAGACUGGCAAAAAGUGGAGUAUUAAGUGCCCUAUUGAUCCGUUCUUGUAAUAAGUUCAGCCUGACGCCAUUCUUUAUACAGAAACAGAACAUUCUAGAUUUGUUUUCCAUUCUAACUGCCAUUUUGGAUCAUCAGUUGUAUUAAUUUGUCAAAUAGAGUAUAUUGCUGAUAUGUGUCCAGUUUUAAAAUGUCAAGGAUGAAAGUAGCUACUAUGGACAUUAUGUGGAAUUUAAUGCUGCAUUCCCAUGCACAUUUACCUAGGAGUAGGGCCCAUUGAACUCAGUAGGGCUUCCUUCUCUUGCUUCAUUGUAAUUUUCCUUCCUGAGGAAAAUAUUUGAACUAAUGCACUUCAUUAACACCAUUAAUUCCUGAUUACAUUCUAAUUUGCUUUUGAUUGCCAGUCACAUUCUUAAUAUGUCUAUUGCAUUUCAGUACCAUUGUUUUAAAUGAAAUAUAUUUUGUGAUCAUUAUAUUUCACUUGUUUUGCUGCAGUAGUUGUUCAGAGGCAUCACAGUAAAAAAGGAGAAGAUUCAAAGCAAGAAUUUGAAAGGCUCCAUUAAAUAUAUCGGGAGCUGUUCGUGGGAAGCUUCUCUCACACAUAAAGGUGAACAACCGAACUGUGUAAAUUGUAUUGCAAGUCACAACUGGUUAUUUUGUAUGCAAUCAUGUUAUGUAUUUUAAAACAUGAGCCGAUCAUACUAUACCAGUUCCAGUUAGCAAUGGCACACUGGCAGAAAACAGGAAAAAGCAGAGAGCGCAGCUCAUUCUGCAAGUAAUUAUAUGCUGCUAAAAACCACACUUGAACCUCAUGGCCUUGCUGUGGUGAUUCAGUUUCAGAUAUAUUUUCUCUUGUGGAAAUGUAUCCUUUCUUGAGCUGAGUUUAAUGUUUCUUGUUGGCUGGAUUUUUAUGGUUACCAAAGCUCCCCAAAUUCUCUAUGCACCUAGCUGCAAAUCUGAAUCAAAAAUAUAAUAUUGCCAGACACUCAGGACAAAUGUGAGCAAUUACCUCGGGUAGGAUGUAUGUAGGCAGGCUGCAGGCAGAAAUCAGAAAGGAUGAAGUGGUCUGGUGAAAUGGUGGGAGGACUCGGUAGACUCUUUCAGCUACAAGUUUCCCAGAGGAGGAGUAAGGGAGCAAAUCUGGGAGUCUUAUAGCAGCCAGCCAGGCCACCAGAUUGGUCCUCUUAUUUCCCAAGCCAGGAGGAUAUGGGCUGUGAUGUGCAGCUGAAAUUAUAUGUAAUGGCCUCCUUUGAGCAACAGUCACAAUAGCCAAGGAAGCCAGUAUCUGAUCCACAGUGUUCCCUGGUUUAAGACCACUCAUCAGCUGAUAAGUGGAGACUUAAUUCCUGCUCUCUGCUCCUACAGCAUGUUCCCUGCAGCAUAUGUGUUGGCAAAGCAGUACCCAGAAGGACUGAACUCUCUACUCAUCAGCUGAUGAGAAGGGAGUGAAAUCCUUCUCCUUUGUCAUUGUACCAGUUCCCAGCAGGACCCCAAUGGUGUCAGCUGAUUGACAGGUGGGUGUGGCCUUGGGGAAAUUGCCUAAUUGGCCAAAUUGGACCCCCUGGCUGGAAGUCCCAUACCCCUGGGGUGGGCAAUAUUGAACCAGUGGGAUGGUUAGUCUGGUGCUGAGUACAGCAGCUUUUCCUUAUACGCCAAUAAAUGUUGUCAACAUAUCAUUAGGGGCCUACUAAAAUAACACAAGAAAUGAGUGACUUAGAAAAUUAUCUACUGAAGACUUUCUUUUUGUGUUAAAUGCUUCUUCCUUUAUAGCUAAUGCCAAAGCCAGAUUUCAGGAGUCUGUAUGCACCACUGAAGGUUUCACAUGCAUUGGUAUUGCAAUCAGGACUCACACCUGGGAAAAUAUAUAUAUAUAUACAACUCAUUAGAUGGAAGAAAAAGUUCAUUAAGUUGGCCUUGUCCGUCUAGUUUUUGGGUUCUUUAGUCUUUAAACAGUGUGAGGAAUGAGGGGUGGGACUUGCGUAUACCAAAUGUAAUGUUACAAUCCUUGUAUAAAAAGGACAUUUCAUAGUAACUAGUAGCAAUUUCAUUACUGAGUGCAACCAUGCCAUAAGGCAAUGAAUAAAACUCAAUAUUCCCUGAAACACUGCAGCAAAAAGAUAAAGUGUGAGUUUCAUAAUUGCACCCGUUAUGCAUAUAAUCUGAAAUGUAUUGCACAGUAUAUCAACAAUUCAAACCACUGUACUCCUAGAUUCCACAGAUUGCUUCCUAAAACAGUUCUAUCUCAUUUUCCUAGAAUGAAUUAGUAAUGAGAUUUCACUUUUGUUCUCUCACUGGAGUUAGCAGAUGUUGUUCGAUUCCACCUCCCAUCAAUCCCUGUCAGCAUGGCCAAUGGGUGGGGGUUGAUGGAAGUUGUCACUCAUCAACAUCUGGCGAGACACAGGUUCUCCACCCCUGUUUUUGUGCUACAGAAUAAAAGAAAUCCACUUUUAAAAAAAAAAAAAAAUAGAAUAAGGCUUUCUCAAAAAGAACAAAACAAUUGAAUUAAUUUGAAUCCACAAUUUACAUAAAUUAUCCAUAUAGUUUGUACCUCUCUGCAGUGUAAUGUUUCUUUGUUUUGAAAGAGCAAAAUCUCAUCUUAAUUUGAUUAGUGCAUGGAUUGUACUUUAUCUGCUAUCUUAAAGGCUUAGGACAUUAACAUUUGUAUGCUGCUAUUCUAUACAUAUUCUACACUACAUACAAUUUAUCUUGUGCUAGCUAUCCAUGCACAUUUAGUCAGAACAGAUUACCUUUGUUCACAUUAUCCUUGAGUAAUUAUCCACAAUAUCCUUGAGUAACUUUAGUCCUUGAGAAAGAUACCAUUUCUCCAAUGAAAAUAGAGACAUCCUAAAGAAAAGCAGGACAUUCUGGGAUCAAAUCAGAAACUGGGACAGCUUCUGUAAAUCCAGGACUGUCCCUAGAAAAUAGGGACACUUGGAGGUCUGGAAUAGGGUUUGUUCAUUUAUUAUUUUAUUUAUUAAAUUUCUAUGCCUCUUUUCAUCUGAGGAUCACAGGGCAGUUUGCAAUUUAAAAAAACCCAAAAAAUGCAUGACAGUAACAAACAAAAACAAUACCCCCCAAGUCUGGGGAGUGUGCUGAGGACCAGAUAGAAAGGUUUGGAAGCCACUUUUGGCCUCCAGGCCUGAGGUUUCCUCCCCCUAAGUGAAUGAAAGCAGAAAAGCUAGUCAAGGAUUUCCAACUGGAUAUCUUUAUUUGGAACCAUAAUAUGAAACCUUCAGUCCUGCUGAAUGCAAAAAUAGCUAAGCUCUUUCUUCUUGAUCUGAAUGCUUCUAUCUUCUGUUUCUUUUGUAUUAGGAAGAGAUGAUAUAAAUUGCAAUGGGGGGUCUCCACCUCUUGUAAGUUACCUUGCAGGAGAAAGGAGGAGAAACAUCAAAGGACCCUUCCAUUGGCCAACUUUUAGCAAUUUGUAUUCUAUGCAUGAAGCCUGGAU